UGCGCCGUGGGCGCCGGGCCGGGAGGCGGGCGAGGAGGCAGCGCGCAUCACUCGGGUCCCCUUCCUGCACCCAGCCGCCACUUGCCGGUUGCUAAGCAGUUAUCAUUGUUUCUGUGGCGAUUGCAGAGGCUGUUGCUAAUUGGAGAAGCCCCACUAAGCAGCGGCAGCUUCCUGCUUCGGAUCCUCUCUCUGCUGCUUGCAUUUAAAGAGCAAACUCGUCUUGUCUACCCACCCUCCCUCCCCCAUCCUCCCCAAAAUAGCCUUGUGAUUUCGGAAGUAUGGACUAAAAUCACACUCCUCCUUACCUUGCCGCUUGGACUCUGGUGGCUCCCAACUCGCCGUCAGACCCCACCUGCCCCGGUGGUGGGAAGCGCCUGGACACACCAUGACCACAGCCAAGGAGCCAAGCGCUUCGGGGAAAUCCGUGCAGCAGCAGGAACAGGAGCUGGUGGGGAGUAACCCUCCGCAGAGGAAUUGGAAAGGAAUAGCGAUUGCACUGCUUGUCAUUCUGGUCAUCUGCUCCUUGAUCGUCACCUCGGUCAUACUUCUGACACCAGCGGAAGAUAAUAGUCUGUCUCAAAAGAAGAAGGUCACUGUGGAAGAUCUCUUCAGUGAAGACUUCAAAAUUCAUGACCCCGAGGCUAAGUGGAUAAGUGGUGAGUCCAGGUCCUUCGUGCACGAGACAUCGCUUCCCCAUGCCUCACCCCCACUUUCAAUAGGUUGGGUCUAGUAAUUUGCCUCUCGGAUUUCCCCCUUUGGCCACAGAAGGGGAUCUACAGAGCUUUUGCGGUAGUCAUCAUCAGAUUAUCAUUCUAUGAAAAUGUGUAUCUGGUAAAAUCAGGCUUUUGUAAUGGUGUUGCCUCCCGAGCAUCCACACAGCCUUCACUUAGUGAGAAAUGGGUCUGCUGAAGACGUGUCUUUGUGUGCCACCUCCCAGAGACAUCAUUUCUCCGGGGGAGCUGUGGGGUGUUGCUUAGCAACAGGAACAGUGCAGGGCACGGUGAGCUUUCCUUCCUUCUCCACAAUCUUCAUUCCCCUUUGUUCUCUUGCUCUCUUUCCGUUAGGCAGAAGGACCAAAAGCAACUCAUGGAGUUCUUGUAGAAUAGCUUCCAAAUGAAACUUGGAGUGCUGUACACAGAUGCAGAUUCAUUUAUUUUCCCUGUUGAACUUUAAUUUGGAUUAAAUCUACUUUCCUUGUAUGGGGGAUUUUUUUCUUAAAACAACAGAACAAAAUACAGUUGGGGGCAGAAGGCAUAUGUUCACAAUGCCUGUGUUGGUUCAUAACAUAAUCUAUUUCUUCUAAUUGGGUCUGAAAUAAUUCAAGUGCAACCAUGGAAGAUGUACCCAUCCCUCCGCAGGCCAAGUUGCCAGCACCUCCCUGUUGUCUCUAUUGCUGUUGCUGACAUUUAAUCUUUGCUUCAGUGGAAUACACUUGAAGGUUUGUCCUCAGGUCAGAGAACUUUAUAGUGAUCAAAGUCUAGUUCAGAUCCUUGCUUUUAUAAUAAAUGAGGUCCAGAGAGGUCAAGUGACU
rnacentral:sRNA from 1 species